rnacentral:snoRNA from 1 species
AAGCCAUGAUGUGGACACUGAUUUGUGUAACUCCUAAACCUCUCCCAAGCUUCUCCAAAGCUUUCAUUGUUGUUCUGGGUAAAGUUUGAUAUCUGGUUUCUCAGCUU